UUUGGAUUCGACGGGGAUAGUUUGAGCGUUUGGUAGCGAGCCGAGGGGCUGCGUCCUUCGUUAAAAACGCGGAACGCCAAUAAUAACUGGCAAACAAGAAUCUUACGCUCUAGCUGCUUAAUUUAAGCUAGCUAGGAUCCGAUGCCUCAUCGCCUGUGUGGUGUAGUCGGGUCUCAUAACUUUAGCAGGCUAGCAGACCGGAUUGUCGUCGACCGGAAUGCGAAAUAAAGGCGACUAGCGCAAAGGAACGCCUGUCACCGGGCAGUCCCUAGGGCGAAACUCAUCAAUACGGUGACUGCGCUCGGAGAAACCUACGUGGCGA
rnacentral:tmRNA from 1 species